UACGUAGGUGGCAAGCGUUGUCCGGAAUUACUGGGCGUAAAGGGCGUGCAGGCGGUUUGUUAAGUGCAGGGUGAAAGCUCCCGGCUCAACUGGGAGAGGUCCUUGCAUACUGGCAAACUCGAGGGAGGCAGAGGAAAGUGGAAUUCCCGGUGUAGUGGUGAUAUGCGUAGAUAUCGGGAGGAACACCUGUGGCGAAGGCGGCUUUCUGGGCCUUACCUGACGCUGAGACGCGAAAGCGUGGGGAGCGAACCGG
rnacentral:rRNA from 1 species